GGAGUUGAACGGGUAAUCGCUGCUUUGCUGAUGUCCUUCGGGAGACUGACGUUGAGGUCCUUCGGGAAACUGACGUUGAAGUCCUUCGGGAGACUGGUAGAGGGGAGGAACGUCCGGGCUCCAUAGAGCAGGGUGCCAGAUAACGUCUNNNNNNNNNNUCGGAAGAGGCACAGGUAAGGCUGAAAGGGUGCGGUAAGAGCGCACCGUGCGACUGGCAACAGUUCGUAGCAAGGUAAACUCCACCCGGAGCAAGAUCAAAUAGGCCCUCGCAUUGCGCUGCUCGCGUAUGGGGGCGGGUAGAUUGCUUGAGCCUGUGAGCGAUUGCAGGCCUAGACGAAUGGUUACCGCCGCGCAAGCGGAACAGAACCCGGCGUAUGUGUCAACUCCACCU
rnacentral:RNase_P_RNA from 1 species